AACCUUCCUCCAGAUUUCCACUUUCUAUUUCACUUUAGCUUUCUCCAGAUUUUCACUUUCAUAUUUUUAUAGCAUAUAACAGAAGUGAAACCUUUAAAAAUGGCAAAUAAUUAAGACCCUCCAUUUAAAAUGCCUUUCUAUGGUUCGAGUAAGCAGAAGUGUAUUCCUACCCCCCCGCCCCCCAAAAUUCAUCCUGUACUGUUUUCUCCUGCACAUAUUUUGACACCCUUGGAACGUUAAGCCUCAAAUGAAAAGGAAAUUUCUUUCUUGCCCCUCCCCUCCAUUCACAUGCAUCUAAGCAUUUCUGAUUAUAAGAAGUAAAGUUUGGCUUAUUUCAUCCUGUACUUGGCAGAUAACUGAAUGGCAAAAUGCAUGAUGCUGCCCAUGCAUGUAACAAACUGGAUGAAGUAAGCUAGUUGGUGAGGGUGUAAAAAAACCCAAACUAUCAGGAUCAUGUCCCUUAAGAGAAGAGCCUCUUGUCCUUUGUUGUCGGGCUGCAGGGAAGAUGCAAAAGAAAUUGGGGCAGGCGGGAGAGCUCUUCAGCUGUGAUUUUAAGUGCUAUUCUACUGUACGUCAGGAUUCCUUGGUUUUUGUAUACACAUCAAAUGACUGUGCAGAGAGAUGACUUUAUGCAGUGGAAAUAUUAUUUAGCGGCUUAAUAGGAUCCUAAAAAUGCUGUGCAAUUUUAGGGACCUUGGCUUCAAUCCUGUGUCUUUUUUUUUUUUUAAAGCAUUCAAUAUUGAAUAAUUUAUUUAAA